UGGUUGAUGGGGGUGAUGCUCUAACCAACUGAGCUACCCAGCCAGGGCCAAGACUGGAAGUUUUUCAAUUGGAGAAUAUGGAAAGAAAUUUAAGACUUCUGUUUUCUCUGAAAGACUAGACCCUGGUGUCAGUUCGCAGAUGUAAAUAAAAAAGACAAAACUCACUUUCUCAUUUACUUAUUUUCUGAAGGAAUAGGCUAAGCGGUCACCCUGAAGGCAAAGAAUAUCAAAUAGGAAGAAAUGGGGAGCAGGGUUAGGGGCAAGGUACGAGUAAAGACAAGACUUUAGAGAAAAGAUUGAAAGUCCAGAAUGGCUGGAGCCAAGACCCAGUCUCAGCGCGUAGGCAGGUCAGUGGGCAGCGCCACCCUCCCUGGAACCAGGAACCAGAAGGGGCCCGGGACCCACAAACAGGUAGUGCCACCUCACCCACAGGCAGCUGGGGUGAGUUGGGCACCAAACUGGAAACCAGGAAAGGAUGAAAAUCCCACCAUACCUGGUAACUGUGUCAACAAAAGUCUGCCUCAGCACGGGCCAGCUUCUAACCCAGAAGCAGCUGACGCAAAGGUCAGGAAAUGAGACUGUAUUAAACAGGGCUGAAACAAGUAAGUUCCAAAAUAAGAGCCUAUUUCCCACCCACAUAACAGUUCCAAAGGGGUGCUUCUGGGCAGCAGGUGGCUUCCUGCAGGGUGAUUCUAGGACCCAGGCUCCAUCAUCAGGCGGCCCCACCCUUACCUAGUACCUUAGAGUCCUUUUCGGUCAGUUGCUGGAUAGGUAAGGAGCACAGAGCAGGUUUGGAAGGGGCUCAGAUCACUUCAUCACUUCCACUCACCCACUGGAUGGAGCUUAGCCACAUGACCAACUCAUCUGCAAGGGAAACUAGGAAGCAGAGCUACCAGUGUCACCAGAAAGAAAUCCCAGGGAAGGGAUUUACUGAGCUUCAGAGAAAGAUUAGUCAGUCCUCUGUGAUUUACAACAGAGAGAUCUGUGUUCUGCAGAUGUUUUUUUUUCUAUGCACCUGUCUUUCUUAUUGUUGUUUUUACUAUUAUGGGCUGCAGCUUUGUUUUUGUUUGUUGCUCAAUGUUCUGUGGAGAGGAAUACAUAUGGAGAUGCCACUCCUACGUUAUAGAUUAAAAAUCACCUUGCUUCUCUGGCCCUCAGUUUCCUCAUCUAAUGCAUAGUGUAUUAAUUAAGGUCAGGUUCGGCUGGAAGGGAUGAAGAAAAACAUGGAAGCGUGGAUUUAGUGUAAUAAAAAAGUAUUUCUUUCACACACUAAAGUCUAGGCAGGCAAUCCAGGAUUGGUGCGAAGUUAAGUUCCUCCUCCUUUGUUGCUCCUCUGUGCUCAACCUCGAUCUCAUGGCCCCAGGUGAUGGCGGGAUAGAAGAAGAAGUCUCUGUUUUGCAAAGAAAUGUUUUAUGAAACCAUGACUCUCCUACCGGGGUGUAAAAAGGCAAUGGGCCUCAGUGUGCUCAUCCUCCUGAGCUACCACUUAGCAUUCACUACUCUUCAGUAUGAACCACCACACAAUUUUUUUUCGUUGGAGAAAAUUACGGUCCAGAGAGCUGUGGGAAGGGCAGUGUCCCUUCAUCUUCUAUGGCGGUGUGAUCACUGACAGCUGCAUCUCGAAGCUAAGCUGAGAAAGACUUAGGACUUCAAGGGAAGGAGGUGGGGUAAAGAGUUGGAGGGGUCCAUGGUGCUGGGGAGGGAAACAAAUAAAAGAUCAGAGAGGAGAAAUAGCCCCUCUAAGGUGAACAAUAAGCUGUUGCAUCUAGUCUCUACUACAACCAAAACAGAGGCACAACACCAGGUGAGCCUCUCCGGGUUCUGGAAGCAACAUAUUCUUCUUUUGGGUGUGUUACUCUAGUCCAGCAAGUGACCUGAAAAGCUGCUAGUUUUGAGUGAGGCCUAGAGCAAAGGAAUGCUUUCCAACAGGUCUAGACUGCUGUGUCUAGACAGUGGCCAUCGAGCCGGCAGAUCCAAUGGUGGUUGAAGUGUCAGCAGUGGGCAGGGAUUCUGUUUGGAAAUUCUGGCAAGCCCCUGUAGGUGAAUCACAGCUCAGGCCCUUAGGAUUUUGGAGCAAAGCCCUGCCAUCCUCUGCAGGUAGCUACUCUCCUUUUAAGAAAUAGCUCUUGGUUUGCUACUGGGCCUUAGAAGAGACUGAACACUUAACCAUGGGUCGUCACGUUGCUUUGUGACCUGAGCUGGUGGGUGUUAUCUGACCCACUGAGCCAUAAAACUGGGUGUGUACAGCAGUAUUCCAUUGUCACGUGGAAGUUGUGUACACGUGAUCAGGCCCAGUAGGCCCUGACAGCACAAGUGAGUUACAGGAAGAAGUGGCCCAGAUGCCCACAGGCCCCACUGCUGCUGUACUGCCUUCUCUCUCCCAGCUGGCACGUAUGGCCUCAUGGGGAGCUCCCUAUGUCCAGGUGACAGGGGAAGAGAAGACUUGGGCCCAGUUUACAUGAUAUGCAGGCACCACCUGAAAAUGGACAGCUGCAACACUAAGGCCCUUUUCUGGGACAUCCCUGAAGGAUAGCAGUGAGGGGAAAUCCCCUCUGUGUGUAGAGUAUCAAGCAAUGCACCUAGUUCUCCACUUUGCCUGGAAGGAGAAAUGGCCAGGCACGCAGUUACAUACCAAUUCAUGGGCUAUGGAUAAUGGUUUGGCUGAUGACCAGGGACUUGGAAGAACAUUAUUGGAGAAUUGGUGACAAGGAAAUUUGGGGGAGUGGUGUGUGGAUAGGCUUUUCUGAAUGGGCAAAAAUACAGGAAGGUACUUGUGCCAUAUGUGAAUGCUCUCCAAAGGGUGACCUCAGCAGAGGAGGAUUUGAGUAAUCAAGUGGCUAGAAUGACCCAUUUUUUGCAUACCAGUCAGCCUCUUUCUCCAGCUACCCCGGUCUUUGCCCAAUGACAAUGGGCUUAUGAACAAAGUGGCCAUGGUGGCAGGGGCGGAGGCUAUGCACGGGCUCAGGAACAUGGACUUCCACUCACCAAAGCCAACCUUGCUACAGCCACCCCUGAGUGCCCAGCCAGACACCAACACUGAGUCGCUCAUCUGACACCAUUUGCCCAGGUUAUCCACCAGCCAGCUGGUAGCAGGAUCACUUCCUUCACA